ACAAACGCUGGCGGCAUGCCUAACACAUGCAAGUCGAACGGACAGAACAGGGAAGCUUUUCGGAGUGGAACUGGAAAGUUAGUGGCGGAUGGGUGAGUAACGCGUGGACAACCUACCUUGUAAAGGGGAAUAACCUCGAGAAAUCGAAGCUAAUACCCCAUAAUAACCUUGCUUCGCAUGAAGUAAGGAGGAAAGGCGGCCUUAGCGCUGUCGAUACAAGAUGGGUCCGCGUCUGAUUAGCUAGUUGGUGAGGUAAAGGCUCACCAAGGCGACGAUCAGUAGCCGGCCUGAGAGGGUGAACGGCCACAUUGGGACUGAGACACGGCCCAAACUCCUACGGGAGGCAGCAGUGGGGAAUCUUCCGCAAUGGGCGAAAGCCUGACGGAGCAAUGCCGCGUGAGUGAAGAAGGCCUUCGGGUUGUAAAACUCUGCCCUUAUCGAAGAGAGAGUGUUGUAGUAACUGACAAUACUAGGACGGUAGAUGAGGAGGAAGCCCCGGCUAACUAUGUG
rnacentral:rRNA from 1 species